rnacentral:rRNA from 1 species
GUACACAAAAAUGCACAUAUUGUGAGCUCGAUGAGUAGGGCGGGACACGUGGUAUCCUGUCUGAAUAUGGGGGGACCAUCCUCCAAGGCUAAAUACUCCUGACUGACCGAUAGUGAACCAGUACCGUGAGGGAAAGGCGAAAAGAACCCCGGCGAGGGGAGUGAAAAAGAACCUGAAACCGUGUACGUACAAGCAGUGGGAGCCUCUUAAUGGGGUGACUGCGUACCUUUUGUAUAAUGGGUCAGCGACUUAUAUUCUGUAGCAAGGUUAACCGAAUAGGGGAGCCGAAGGGAAACCGAGUCUUAACUGGGCGUUAAGUUGCAGGGUAUAGACCCGAAACCCGGUGAUCUAGCCAUGGGCAGGUUGAAGGU